rnacentral:lncRNA from 1 species
CUUUCUUAAAGAGUUAUUUUUUCGUUAUUAGAGAUAAGCAGAAGCCUUAGAAGGGAGCACUCGUGGCACACUUACUAUAUCCCAUUCCAGCCAGCCUCACCUUACCUUUUCGUUAACUAACCUACCAAGUGCUUUCCGGUAACCAAACUACUAUGUCGCUGAGCCAACUAGCCUGGUCCCGAUCACGUUCACAACCAAAGACUCCC